rnacentral:lncRNA from 1 species
AUCCCAGCACUUUAGGAGGCCGACGUGAGGCAGGCGGAUCACUUGGGGUCAGGAGUUUGACACCAGCCUGGCCAACCUGGUAAAACCCCAUCUCUAUUGAAAACACGAAAAUUAGCCAGGCGUGGUGGUGAGUGCCUGUGAUCCCAGCUACUCAGGAGGCUGAGGCAGGAGGAUCACUUGGACUCGGGAGGCAGAGUUACAGUGAGCCGAGAUCCUGCCACCGCACUCCAGCCUGGGCGACAGAGAAAGACCCCAUCUCAAAACAACAGCAACAACAACAAAACCGGGCUGGGCGUGCCUUCCCAUCGGACACCCGACCUCGCAAGACUGUCAUUAAAAGUCUCACUCUCGCUGU